AGUGAACGCUGGCGGCGUGCCUAAUACAUGCAAGUCGAACGGACAAGUAAGAGCUUGCUCUUAUGAGUUAGUGGCGCACGGGUGAGUAAUGUAUAGCUAAUCUGCCCUAUACUAGAGGACAACAGUUGGAAACGACUGCUAAUACUCUAUACUCCUGUCUUACAUAAGUUAGAUAGGGAAAGUUUUUCGGUGUAGGAUGAGGCUAUAUUGUAUCAGCUAGUUGGUGAGGUAAUGGCUCACCAAGGCUAUGACGCAUAACUGGUCUGAGAGGAUGAUCAGUCACACUGGAACUGAGACACGGUCCAGACUCCUACGGGAGGCAGCAGUAGGGAAUAUUGCUCAAUGGGGGAAACCCUGAAGCAGCAACGCCGCGUGGAGGAUGACACUUUUCGGAGCGUAAACUCCUUUUGUUAGGGAAGAACAAUGACGGUACCUAACGAAUAAGCACCGGCUAACUCCGUGCCAACAGCCGCGGUAAUACGGAGGGUGCAAGCGUUACUCGGAAUCACUGGGCGUAAAGGACGCGUAGGCGGAUUAUCAAGUCUCUUGUGAAAUCCUAUGGCUUAACCAUAGAACUGCUUGGGAAACUGAUAAUCUAGAGUGAGGGAGAGGCAGAUGGAAUUGGUGGUGUAGGGGUAAAAUCCGUAGAGAUCACCAGGAAUACCCAUUGCGAAGGCGAUCUGCUGGAACUCAACUGACGCUAAUGCGUGAAAGCGUGGGGAGCAAACAGG
rnacentral:rRNA from 1 species